CGAGCUGGCCGGGCGGCCGCGGCGUCGCCGUCAUGGCGUCGUCGAGGAAAGUCCGGACUCCACAGGGCAGGGUGGUGGGUAACGCCCACCCGGGGUGACCCGCGGGACAGUGCCACAGAAAACAGACCGCCGGCGCGCUUCGGCGUGCCGGUAAGGGUGAAACGGUGGUGUAAGAGACCACCAGCGUCCUGGGUGACCAGGGCGGCUAGGUAAACCCCACCCGGAGCAAGGUCAGACAGGAAGCGUUCGAGGGCGGCCCGCCCGAGCUUCCGGGUAGACCGCACGAGGCCGUCGGCGACGACGGUCCCAGAUGGAUGGUCGCCGUGUCCCGGUCCGCCGGGGCGCACAGAAUCCGGCUUACAGGCCAGCUCGUCCU
rnacentral:RNase_P_RNA from 1 species